UACGGAGGGUGCAAACGUUGCUCGGAAUUAUUGGGCGUAAAGGGCAGGUAGGUGGUCUUAUUUGUCUUGUGUGAAAGCCUUGGGCUUAACCCAAGAAGUGCGCAAGAAACGGUAAGACUAGAGUCCCAGAGAGGCUUGUGGAAUUCCCGGUGUAGCGGUGAAAUGCGUAGAGAUCGGGAGGAACACCAGAGGCGAAGGCGGCAAGCUGGAUGGGCACUGACACUCAACUGACGAAAGCGUGGGGAGCAAACAGG
rnacentral:rRNA from 1 species